rnacentral:rRNA from 1 species
GACGAACGCUGGCGGCGUGCUUAACACAUGCAAGUCGAACGGAAAGGCCCUGCUUUUGUGGGGUGCUCGAGUGGCGAACGGGUGAGUAACACGUGAGUAACCUGCCCUUGACUUUGGGAUAACUUCAGGAAACUGGGGCUAAUACCGGAUAGGAGCUCCUGCUGCAUGGUGGGGGUUGGAAAGUUUCGGCGGUUGGGGAUGGACUCGCGGCUUAUCAGCUUGUUGGUGGGGUAGUGGCUUACCAAGGCUUUGACGGGUAGCCGGCCUGAGAGGGUGACCGGCCACAUUGGGACUGCGAUACGGCCCAGACUCCUACGGGAGGCAGCAGUGGGGAAUAUUGCACAAUGGCGGAAGCCUGAUGCAGCAACGCCGCGUGCGGGAUGACGGCCUUCGGGUUGUAAACCGCUUUCGCCUGUGACGAAGCGUGAGUGACGGUAAUGGGUAAAGAAGCACCGGCUAACUACGUG